AAAGUACUCCCUCCGUCCGGAAAUACUUGUCAUCAAAAUAAAUAAAAUAAGAUGUAUCUAGACAUAUUCUAGUUCUAGGUACAUUCCAUUUUAUCCAUUUUGAUGACAAGUAUUUUCGGAUGGAGGGAGUACAAU
rfam:Triticum aestivum genome assembly, contig: Triticum_aestivum_CS42_TGACv1_scaffold_146646_2BS